AGAAUAAAUUAUAUAUCUACUUUACAAAAAUAAUAAUAGAAAAGAAGUAAUACAAAUUCAUGAAAAUCUAUACCAAUCUAAAAAUGUUAUGAUCAAAUUUCAUGAGUCAAUGUAUAUAUAUCGACUUUUUUAAAUCUAUCAACUCCUAAAAUUCACAUAAUCUAUACAAAUUUACCUCUCAAUAACCCCCUUAACUCUAUUGACCCCCCCCUAACUCUAUUGAUCGGGAAAAAGAAGCCCUAAGACAAACAAGGCGAGAGAGAUAUCCAAAUCCUCCAAUUAUUGGGCUUUCAUCUGUAACUUUCCCGUAAUGGCCUUUUCUUUUCUUUUUUCCGUUUCUUGACGGAGAAGUUUCUUGACGGAGAAAUGGAACAAAAUAAAUAUAGGGUUUGACUCGAACCGUUUGAGAGAGUUACCUGAAAAAGUGAAAGGCUGAAAGGGGAUCGUGAAGACAAAACAAGCGCGAGGCCAGAGAGCAAGAUGCCUAGAACUACACGCGGCGCGGAACAACGAAGGCUCCAGUGUCUACAAGACAUCCAAAAUUUGCAAGAGGAGAUCAAGUUGUUACAGAUUUCAAACGAGAAACUGAAUGGUGUCGGUCUCGACGAUAUGAGCUUCACCGAGCUGGCUUCACUUGGAAGUAUGUUGGAUGAGGGCCAGAGCCGGCCUUGGAGGUAAGCGGGAGAAGCGGCUGCUUCCAGCCGUCAUUAAAUUAUCAAGUUUAGCGGCCACAUUUUUACAAUAUUUAUCCAGUAGCUCCAGUGGUAAUGGUGAAAUU